rnacentral:rRNA from 1 species
GGAAAAGAAACUAACGAGGAUUCCCCUAGUAACUGCGAGUGAAGCGGGAAAAGCUCAAAUUUAAAAUCUGGCGGUUUUUCUGGCCGUCCGAGUUGUAGUCUGGAGAAGUGCUUUCCGCGCUGGAACCGUGUACAAGUCUCUUGGAACAGAGCGUCAUAGAGGGUGAGAAUCCCGUCUUUGACACGGACUAACUAGUGCUUUGUGAUGUGCUCUCAAAGAGUCGAGUUGUUUGGGAAUGCAGCUCAAAAUGGGUGGUAAAUUCCAUCUAAAGCUAAAUAUUGGCGAGAGACCGAUAGCGAACAAGUACCGUGAGGGAAAGAUGAAAAGCACUUUGGAAAGAGAGUUAAACAGUACGUGAAAUUGCUGAAAGGGAAACGCUUGAAGUCAGUCGUGUUGGCCAGAACUCAGCCUUGCUUUUUCUGCUUGGUGCAUUUUCUGGUUGAUGGGCCAGCAUCGAUUUUAAUUGCUGGAGAAAGGCUUGAGGGAAUGUGGCACCCUCGGGUGUGUUAUAGCCCUUAGUCACAUACAGUGGUUGGGAUCGAGGACCGCAGCACGCCUUUAUGGCCGGGGUUCGCCCACGUYGUGUGCUUAGGAYGCUGGCAUAAUGGCUUUAAACGACCCGUCUUGAAACACGGACCAAGGAGUCUAACAUGCCUGCGAGUGUUUGGGUGGAAAACCCGAGUGCAUAAUUAAAGUGAAAGUCGAGAUCCUUGUCAUGGGGAGCAUCGAUGCCCGGACUCAAGCCUUGGCGAGGGCUCCGCGGUAGAGCAUGUAUGUUGGGACCCGAAAGAUGGUGAACUAUGCCUGAAUAGGGUGAAGCCAGAGGAAACUCUGGUGGAGGCUCGUAGCGAUUCUGACGUGCAAAUCGAUCGUCAAAUUUGGGUAUAGGGGCGAAAGACUAAUCGAACC